rnacentral:rRNA from 1 species
GACACAUGUCAUUUAUUUGAAAGGGGCAAUUGCUCCACUACAAGAUGGACCUGCGCUGUAUUAGCUAGUAGGUGAGGUAACGGCUCACCUAGGCGACGAUACAUAGCCGACCUGAGAGGGUGAUCGGCCACACUGGGACUGAGACACGGCCCAGACUCCUACGGGAGGCAGCAGUAGGGAAUCUUCGGCAAUGGGGGCAACCCUGACCGAGCAACGCCGCGUGAGUGAAGAAGGUUUUCGGAUCGUAAAGCUCUGUUGUAAGUCAAGAACGAGUGUGAGAGUGGAAAGUUCACACUGUGACGGUAGCUUACCAGAAAGGGACGGCUAACUACGUGCCAGCAGCCGCGGUAAUACGUAGGUCCCGAGCGUUGUCCGGAUUUAUUGGGCGUAAAGCGAGCGCAGGCGGUUUGAUAAGUCUGAAGUUAAAGGCUGUGGCUCAACCAUAGUUCGCUUUGGAAACUGUCAAACUUGAGUGCAGAAGGGGAGAGUGGAAUUCCAUGUGUAGCGGUGAAAUGCGUAGAUAUAUGGAGGAACACCGGUGGCGAAAGCGGCUCUCUGGUCUGUAACUGACGCUGAGGCUCGAAAGCGUGGGGAGCGAACAGGAUUAGAUACCCUGGUAGUCCACGCCGUA